GACGAACGCUGGCGGCGUGCUUAACACAUGCAAGUCGAACGGAAAGGCCCUGCUUUUGUGGGGUGCUCGAGUGGCGAACGGGUGGGUAACACGUGAGUAACCUGCCCUUGACUUUGGGAUAACUUCAGGAAACUGGGGCUAAUACCGGAUAGGAGCUCCUGCUGCAUGGUGGGGGUUGGAAAGUUUCGGCGGUUGGGGAUGGACUCGCGGCAUAUCAGCUUGUUGGUGGGGUAGUGGCUUACCAAGGCUUUGACGGGUAGCCGGCCUGAGAGGGUGACCGGCCACAUUGGGACUGAGAUACGGCCCAGACUCCCACGGGAGGCAGCAGUGGGGAAUAUUGCACAAUGGGCGGAAGCCCGAUGCAGCAACGCCGCGUGCGGGAUGACGGCCUUCGGGUUGUAAACCGCUUUCGCCUGUGACGAAGCGUGAGUGACGGUAAUGGGUAAAGAAGCACCGGCUAACUACGUGCCAGCAGCCGCGGUGAUACGUAGGGUGCGAGCGUUGUCCGGAUUUAUUGGGCGUAAAGGGCUCGUAGGUGGUUGAUCGCGUCGGAAGUGUAAUCUUGGGGCUUAACCCUGAGCGUGCUUUCGAUACGGGUUGACUUGAGGAAGGUAGGGGAGAAUGGAAUUCCUGGUGGAGCGGUGGAAUGCGCAGAUAUCAGGAGGAACACCAGUGGCGAAGGCGGUUCUCUGGGCCUUUCCUGACGCUGAGGAGCGAAAGCGUGGGGAGCGAACAGGCUUAGAUACCCUGGUAGUCCACGCUGUAAACGGUGGGUACUAGGUGUGGGGUCCAUUCCACGGGUUCCGUGCCGUAGCUAACGCUUUAAGUACCCCGCCUGGGGAGUACGGCCGCAAGGCUAAAACUCAAAGGAAUUGACGGGGCCCCGCACAAGCGGCGGAGCAUGCGGAUUAAUUCGAUGCAACGCGUAGAACCUUACCUGGGUUUGACAUGGAUCGGGAGCGCUCAGAGAUGGGUGUGCCUCUUUUGGGGUCGGUUCACAGGUGGUGCAUGGCCGUCGUCAGCUCGUGUCGUGAGAUGUUGGGUUAAGUCCCGCAACGAGCGCAACCCUUGUUCACUGUUGCCAGCACGUUAUGGUGGGGACUCAGUGGAGACCGCCGGGGUCAACUCGGAGGAAGGUGGGGAUGACGUCAAGUCAUCAUGCCCCUUAUGUCCAGGGCUUCACGCAUGCUACAAUGGCUGGUACAGAGAGUGGCGAGCCUGUGAGGGUGAGCGAAUCUCGGAAAGCCGGUCUCAGUUCGGAUUGGGGUCUGCAACUCGACCUCAUGAAGUCGGAGUCGCUAGUAAUCGCAGAUCAGCAACGCUGCGGUGAAUACGUUCCCGGG
rnacentral:rRNA from 1 species